AAAUUGAAGAGUUUGAUCAUGGCUCAGAUUGAACGCUGGCGGCAGGCCUAACACAUGCAAGUCGAACGGUAACAGGAAGCAGCUUGCUGCUUCGCUGACGAGUGGCGGACGGGUGAGUAAUGUCUGGGAAACUGCCUGAUGGAGGGGGAUAACUACUGGAAACGGUGGCUAAUACCGCAUAACGUCGCAAGACCAAAGAGGGGGACCUUCGGGCCUCUUGCCAUCAGAUGUGCCCAGAUGGGAUUAGCUUGUUGGUGAGGUAACGGCUCACCAAGGCGACGAUCCCUAGCUGGUCUGAGAGGAUGACCAGCCACACUGGAACUGAGACACGGUCCAGACUCCUACGGGAGGCAGCAGUGGGGAAUAUUGCACAAUGGGCGCAAGCCUGAUGCAGCCAUGCCGCGUGUAUGAAGAAGGCCUUCGGGUUGUAAAGUACUUUCAGCGGGGAGGAAGGUGUUGUGGUUAAUAACCACAGCAAUUGACGUUACCCGCAGAAGAAGCACCGGCUAACUCCGUGCCAGCAGCCGCGGUAAUACGGAGGGUGCAAGCGUUAAUCGGAAUUACUGGGCGUAAAGCGCACGCAGGCGGUCUGUCAAGUCGGAUGUGAAAUCCCCGGGCUCAACCUGGGAACUGCAUUCGAAACUGGCAGGCUUGAGUCUUGUAGAGGGGGGUAGAAUUCCAGGUGUAGCGGUGAAAUGCGUAGAGAUCUGGAGGAAUACCGGUGGCGAAGGCGGCCCCCUGGACAAAGACUGACGCUCAGGUGCGAAAGCGUGGGGAGCAAACAGGAUUAGAUACCCUGGUAGUCCACGCCGUAAACGAUGUCUACUUGGAGGUUGUGCCCUUGAGGCGUGGCUUCCGGAGCUAACGCGUUAAGUAGACCGCCUGGGGAGUACGGCCGCAAGGUUAAAACUCAAAUGAAUUGACGGGGGCCCGCACAAGCGGUGGAGCAUGUGGUUUAAUUCGAUGCAACGCGAAGAACCUUACCUGGUCUUGACAUCCACGGAAGUUUUCAGAGAUGAGAAUGUGCCUUCGGGAACCGUGAGACAGGUGCUGCAUGGCUGUCGUCAGCUCGUGUUGUGAAAUGUUGGGUUAAGUCCCGCAACGAGCGCAACCCUUAUCCUUUGUUGCCAGCGAUUAGGUCGGGAACUCAAAGGAGACUGCCAGUGAUAAACUGGAGGAAGGUGGGGAUGACGUCAAGUCAUCAUGGCCCUUACGACCAGGGCUACACACGUGCUACAAUGGCGCAUACAAAGAGAAGCGACCUCGCGAGAGCAAGCGGACCUCAUAAAGUGCGUCGUAGUCCGGAUUGGAGUCUGCAACUCGACUCCAUGAAGUCGGAAUCGCUAGUAAUCGUGGAUCAGAAUGCCACGGUGAAUACGUUCCCGGGCCUUGUACACACCGCCCGUCACACCAUGGGAGUGGGUUGCAAAAGAAGUAGGUAGCUUAACCUUCGGGAGGGCGCUUACCACUUUGUGAUUCAUGACUGGGGUGAAGUCGUAACAAGGUAACCGUAGGGGAACCUGCGGUUGGAUCACCUCCUUACCUUAAAGAA
rnacentral:rRNA from 1 species